rnacentral:rRNA from 1 species
UAGAUACCCUAUUAUACUAGAUUGAAAUGAAGGCUUACUUGAGUAGUAAAUAGAUAUGAUCUCGAAACUUAAAGGAUUUGGCGGUAUUUUAGUCUAGUUAGAGGAACCUGUUCUUUAAACGAUAAACCACGAAGUAUUUUACUUUACUUGGUAAAUCAGCUUGUAUACCGUCAUUACUAGAUAAUUUUAACAGAAAUUUGUUGGAAAAAUAUUAUUUAAAUAUAUUAGAUCAAGGUGCAGCCUAUAGUAGAGGAGGUAAUGGGUUACAAUAUUAUUUGUAUAACACGAAAUGAAAAAUGAAAAUUUUUUAGAAGGAGGAUUUAAUAGUAAUAAAAUUUUAUUAAGGUUUUAUGAUUAAAGCUCUAUAAUAUGCACACAUCGCCC